ACAUAUCAAGAUGUAUUAUAUGUUAUGGAAAUGACAGAAUCUGUUUGAUAAGUGAUGAACAUCAUUGGACCAUAACGAGUGCAGAAGCAGACAAUUGCAUAUAUGGAACCAGCAUACGAGAGAGGAAGGAUGACUGAUCAGUGGGUGCAGCAGAAACUCUGCCAGAUAUUUGCCAGAUCAUUUCAUUUUUCUCCAGGGCACACAGGAAGCCAAUAUUCCCCAUCUCUCCUUGCAUCUAAGAAUGAGUCAAUGAGAUAGAGAUGAAAGUGAUAUAUGGCCUUUCCACAUCUGGAUCUAAAAUGUCCCAAGUUGUUAUUCACAUUUUCUUUAACCUGUGUGGCUGGAAGUGAAGGACUCCAAGAUGGUGGAAGCUCAAGAGGGAAUGAACAAGAUCUCUGCGACCUUGCAUGGGAGAAAGCUUCCAGGGUGAGCAUGCUGACCUACAUUGAAUGGGCAUCUUCCUACCUGGAGUUGCAAGAAGAGGCCAAAAGUCCACGGGAGAAGAGCUUGUUCGUUCUGGUUGGAGCUGAAAUCAGACCUGACUGAUGGGCCAAGUGCUGGAAAGACUUAUGUCUUCUUGGGAGGCAGUCAAUGGACAGCUACCAAACUAAAUGGGUUUGUGAUCCUUUCUCUCUGCUUCUCUCUCGCUUUCUUUUUUUUAAGAUCCUGAAACUGAAAAGCCAAAUCCAUUAAACAAUUAAUACUUUGAUUUGCAAAAGACAACAGACAUAUCCUCUGAGCAAGGGAAGCAUGUCUUUUCUUGCAUGUGAGUUCAGGAACACUGAGUCUUCCCAUUCAGGUCCUUCAAGGUACAUCAAGUUGAAGGGUGAUCUAAUCGGCUUUCAAGGCAAGAGGAGUGUGCAGUGUCCGCAUGGUUCUAUUCAAUAAUUUUUCCACCACUGAGCACACAUAGACUGAUCAUUUAGCCUUGAUUCCUACAUCUGCACAAUGAAGAAUUAAAAUCCCUGUUCACGGGGCAAACACAGGGAAUCAGGACGCUCCCAGCAUAAGACUUGACCCUGGGUAGGUGCUCAGAGUAGCUGUUAAAGGAAAAAGUGAGUUUUACUAAGUGAACA
rnacentral:lncRNA from 1 species